GCAGUGGGGGUUCAACGGUAGACUUCUUGCCUUCCAUGUGGGAGACUUGGGUUUGAUUCCCGUCCAAUGCA
rnacentral:tRNA from 1 species